UACAGAGGUGGCAAGCGUUGUUCGGAAUUACUGGGCGUAAAGGGCGCGUAGGCGGUCUUUUAAGUUCCGUGUGAAAUCCCUCGGCUCAACUGGGGAACGGCACGGGAAACUGGAAGGCUUGAGUUCGGGAGAGGGAAGCGGAAUUCCGGGUGUAGCGGUGAAAUGCGUAGAUAUCCGGAGGAACACCGGUGGCGAAGGCGGCUCCUGGACCGACAC
rnacentral:rRNA from 1 species